GUGGGGAAUAUUGGACAAUGGGCGAAAGCCUGAUCCAGCCAUGCCGCGUGUGUGAAGAAGGUCUUCGGAUUGUAAAGCACUUUAAGUUGGGAGGAAGGGCAGUAAGUUAAUACCUUGCUGUUUUGACGUUACCGACAGAAUAAGCACCGGCUAACUUCGUGCCAGCAGCCGCGGUAAUACGAAGGGUGCAAGCGUUAAUCGGAAUUACUGGGCGUAAAGCGCGCGUAGGUGGUUUUGUAAGUUGGAGGUGAAAUCCCCGGGCUCAACCUGGGAACUGCCUCCAAAACUGCAUGACUAGAGUAUGGUAGAGGGUAGUGGAAUUUCCUGUGUAGCGGUGAAAUGCGUAGAUAUAGGAAGGAACACCAGUGGCGAAGGCGACUACCUGGACUGAUACUGACACUGAGGUGCGAAAGCGUGGGGAGCAAACAGGAUUAGAUACCCGUGUAGUCC
rnacentral:rRNA from 1 species